rnacentral:lncRNA from 1 species
CCAGCUCUGCGCAUUGAAGUAGAGGAGGCUCUCUCGCGUUGCAGCGCUUUGGGGGACCGCUUUCUUCCGCCGUUACCAUUUGUCGUUCAUGUACUCUACCAUUAAGAUUCACUGGCAUAUACAUCAUUUGUCCCCCUUUUCAGGUUUUUAAUGAAAAUGAUUCCAUUAGAAAAAGUUUAUUAAGGUUCAUAUUUCAUAAAAAUUGUUUAAUAUAGUUUUUUUUGGCGGACAGUGUACAUAUUAGUAUGGCAAACUUUUAAUAAAGUGUUUAAAAUUUAUCUUACAUAGUUAUGUGAACUCAAGUGAGUUGGCAGAAAUGGUUUAAAAUUAAGGUUAAUAAAAGGGGUGGUUAAUAAAAGGUGGUGAGUUAGGGUUCGUUGAAGUUAGGGUUCUUUAAUGUUGUGGGAUACAAAUGAUUUCUUUUUAAGGAUUUUCUUCUUGUUCCAAAACAGGACGGAAAAGAAAUUCACAAUCCGCAAAUGAUAGUGGUUGGAGGGGAGAUGGGAUAACUCCUCAUUGCAAGUGUGGUGAUUAUGUUGUGACCAAGUGGCGAGAACUCCCCAGAAUGUUAGGCGUAAAUUUUGGGGAUGUCGUCAUUACAAGGUUUU